AACUGAUUUUGUUAUUGGUAUGAGCUUUCGUGUGCUUGCACGCUUCUUCGGAUAAGUGUGUAGGCACACGAAAGCUCAUACUAAUAACAAACUUAGUUGG